rnacentral:tRNA from 1 species
GGAUAUAGCUCAGUUGGUAAAGUGCUUGCCUUGCAUGCACAAGGCCUGGGUUCAAUCCCCAGCACCA